GGGGAUAACUACUGGAAACGGUAGCUAAUACCGCAUAACGUCGCAAGACCAAAGAGGGGGACCUUCGGGCCUCUUGCCAUCGGAUGUGCCCAGAUGGGAUUAGCUAGUAGGUGGGGUAAAGGCUCACCUAGGCGACGAUCCCUAGCUGGUCUGAGAGGAUGACCAGCCACACUGGAACUGAGACACGGUCCAGACUCCUACGGGAGGCAGCAGUGGGGAAUAUUGCACAAUGGGCGCAAGCCUGAUGCAGCCAUGCCGCGUGUAUGAAGAAGGCCUUCGGGUUGUAAAGUACUUUCAGCGGGGAGGAAGGGAGUAAAGUUAAUACCUUUGCUCAUUGACGUUACCCGCAGAAGAAGCACCGGCUAACUCCGUGCCAGCAGCCGCGGUAAUACGGAGGGUGCAAGCGUUAAUCGGAAUUACUGGGCGUAAAGCGCACGCAGGCGGUUUGUUAAGUCAGAUGUGAAAUCCCCGGGCUCAACCUGGGAACUGCAUCUGAUACUGGCAAGCUUGAGUCUCGUAGAGGGGG
rnacentral:rRNA from 1 species